GGGGCGUUAGCUCAGCCGGUUAGAGCAGCGGACUCAUAAUCCGCCCGUCGCGGGUUCGAGCCCCGCACGCCCCACCC
rnacentral:tRNA from 1 species